AUUGAACGCUGGCGGCAGGCCUAACACAUGCAAGUCGAGCGGAUGAAGGGAGCUUGCUCCUGGAUUCAGCGGCGGACGGGUGAGUAAUGCCUAGGAAUCUGCCUGGUAGUGGGGGAUAACGCCCGGACACGGGCGCUAAUACCGCAUACGUCCUGAGGGAGAAAGUGGGGGAUCUUCGGACCUCACGCUAUCAGAUGAGCCUAGGUCGGAUUAGCUAGUUGGUGGGGUAAAGGCCUACCAAGGCGACGAUCCGUAACUGGUCUGAGAGGAUGAUCAGUCACACUGGAACUGAGACACGGUCCAGACUCCUACGGGAGGCAGCAGUGGGGAAUAUUGGACAAUGGGCGAAAGCCUGAUCCAGCCAUGCCGCGUGUGUGAAGAAGGUCUUCGGAUUGUAAAGCACUUUAAGUUGGGAGGAAGGGCAGUAAGUUAAUACCUUGCUGUUUUGACGUUACCAACAGAAUAAGCACCGGCUAACUUCGUG
rnacentral:rRNA from 1 species